UGGCAUAACGUAGCAGCACAUAAUGGUUUGUGGGUUUUGAAAAGGUGCAGGCCAUAUUGUGCUGCCUCAAA
ensembl:miRNA microRNA 15a